rnacentral:rRNA from 1 species
AAAAGUAACAAGGUUUCCGUAGGUGAACCUGCGGAAGGAUCAUUACCGAGUGUAGGGUUCCUAGCGAGCCCAACCUCCCACCCGUGUUUACUGUACCUUAGUUGCUUCGGCGGGCCCGCCAUUCAUGGCCGCCGGGGGCUCUCAGCCCCGGGCCCGCGCCCGCCGGAGACACCACGAACUCUGUCUGAUCUAGUGAAGUCUGAGUUGAUUGUAUCGCAAUCAGUUAAAACUUUCAACAAUGGAUCUCUUGGUUCCGGCAUCGAUGAAGAACGCAGCGAAAUGCGAUAACUAGUGUGAAUUGCAGAAUUCCGUGAAUCAUCGAGUCUUUGAACGCACAUUGCGCCCCCUGGUAUUCCGGGGGGCAUGCCUGUCCGAGCGUCAUUGCUGCCCAUCAAGCACGGCUUGUGUGUUGGGUCGUCGUCCCCUCUCCGGGGGGGACGGGCCCCAAAGGCAGCGGCGGCACCGCGUCCGAUCCUCGAGCGUAUGGGGCUUUGUCACCCGCUCUGUAGGCCCGGCCGGCGCUUGCCGAACGCAAAUCAAUCUUUUCCAGGUGACCUCGGAUCAGGUAGAUGC